rnacentral:tRNA from 1 species
AUUUAAAUAGCUUAUAAAAUAUAGAGUAUAAUAUUGAAGAUAUUAGGGAGAUAGAAUUUAUCUUUAAAUA